GCCCCAGACCUUUCCCUCUCCUGAGCUCCCUUUGUCUUGGUCCCUCUCCCGUUGCCUGGUAACAGCCCUCCCCUUCACCAGCUCCGCGGAAACCAUAGCAACGGGCAGCCGGGAGAUGCGGCCAUUCCUCUCCCUUUUGUCCAUUGCAUUUCAGCAGCGCCCGCGCACAUGGACGCUCCAAUUACAGCUCUAGAGGCUAGAAGUUGGCAGUCAGGAUGUGUGUAAGGCCACGCUCCCUCUGAAGACUCCAGGGGAGGAUCUUUGCUUGCCUCCUCCAGCUUCUGGUGGCUGCCAGCAUCCUUGGCAUUCCUUGGCCUGUGGACACAUCACUCUCAUCUCUGCCCAUGAUCAUAACCCCAAGCUCCAGAAUACAGACCAGCAGGCGAGGAGACAAGGAGGCAAGCAGAUGGAUGGCAGAACAAAGUGGCAGAGAGAGAAGAGGAGAGAUGUCUGGACGCCAAGAGGAGUCUGGCUGGGGCCGGUCAGAGAAGAGUCCAGCGGCUGGGCAGCCCGACUCCAGGGGAAGAUCACCUUCCCACUCCAUCCCCCUUCAUGCUCCCCAUCCAUCUCACUAAGAGCCAUCUCUACCACUCAAUAAAACCUUGCACUCAUCCUUCAAA